rnacentral:rRNA from 1 species
AACGAACGCUGGCGGCGCGCCUAAUACAUGCAAGUCGAGCGAGAAGACGUAGCAAUACGUUUGUAAAGCGGCGAACGGGUGAGGAAUACAUGGGUAACCUACCCUCGAGUGGGGAAGUAACUAGCCGAAAGGUUAGCUAAUACCGCGUACGCUCCUUGGACUUCGGUUCAGGGAGGAAAGCGAUACCGUGGGUAUCGCGCUCUUGGAUGGGCUCAUGUCCUAUCAGCUUGUUGGUGAGGUAACGGCUCACCAAGGCUUCGACGGGUAGCUGGUCUGAGAGGACAAUCAGCCACACUGGCACUGCGACACGGGCCAGACUCCUACGGGAGGCAGCAGUAAGGAAUAUUGCGCAAUGGGCGAAAGCCUGACGCAGCGACGCCG